AUUAGGAUCGGCCCCGUGCAUGCAGCCUAUUUAGCCUUCAUCUCGUAUGCGUCAUUUCCCAGUGAGCGGGUAUGCCCCUUUAAGGGCCCCUUUCGGACGAACAAGAGUUAUCCCCCGGAAGAGACCUAGUGCACGCUGACCAGCCGUCGACUGCCUGUCGGGCUGACCUAGUUUCGGCCGGGACUUUUAAUUAGGAUCGGAGCCAGGUGCAACCUAUUUAGCCUAUUACGCGACAUUUUUGCCUGUGAGCGGGUAUGCCCCUUUAAGGGCCCCUUUCGGACGAACAAGAGUUAUCCCCCGGAAGAGACCUAGUGCACGCUGACCAGCCGUCGACUGCCUGUCGGGCUGACCUAGUUUCGGCCGGGACUUUUAAUUAGGAUCGGAGCCAGGUGCAACCUAUUUAGCCUAUUACGCGACAUUUUUGCCUGUGAGCGGGUAUGCCCCUUUAAGGGCCCCUUUCGGACGAACAAGAGUUAUCCCCCGGAAGAGACCUAGUGCACGCUGACCAGCCGUCGACUGCCCAUCGGGCUGAACUAGUUUCGGCCGGGACUUUUAAUUAGGAUCGGCCCCGUGCAUGCAGCCUAUUUAGCCUUCAUCUCGUAUGCGUCAUUUCCCAGUGAGCGGGUAUGCCCCUUUAAGGGCCCCUUUCGGACGAACAAGAGUUAUCCCCCGGAAGAGACCUAGUGCACGCUGACCAGCCGUCGACUGCCUGUCGGGCUGACCUAGUUUCGGCCGGGACUUUUAAUUAGGAUCGGAGCCAGGUGCAACAUAUUUAGCCUAUUACGCGACAUUUUUGCCUGUGAGCGGGUAUGCCCCUUUAAGGGCCCCUUUCGGACGAACAAGAG